UACGAAGGGGGCUAGCGUUGCUCGGAAUCACUGGGCGUAAAGGGCGCGUAGGCGGAUCUUUAAGUCGGAUGUGAAAGCCCCAGGCUCAACCUGGGAAGUGCACUCGAUACUGCGUGGCUUGAGUAUCGGAGAGGUUGGUGGAAUUCUCGGUGUAGAGGUGAAAUUCGUAGAUAUCGAGAGGAACACCGGUGGCGAAGGCGGCCAACUGGACGAAUACUGACGCUGAGACACGAAAGCGUGGGGAGCAAACAGG
rnacentral:rRNA from 1 species